AAGUUUGCAGCGUUCGAUCGUACAUUGAAUACUGUACGCGCACGGCAUACAGCACGCGACACUCGACACAAUUGGAGCUGAGAGCUGGGAGCUGAUCAGUGCGCGACAGUGCGCGGCAGUGCGUGUUAAACCGUUGGCGAAUGGUCGGCGAACAAUCGUUCGCUGUAUUCGUUUGAUGAUUUCGCAACGCGUACGCGGUAUCGAUGACAUUAGACUGGACGUGAUCUUCGGCUUUCCCCGGUCUUCCAAGUGAUCGUUUGUGACUCACGCGUUUCCUUUUUCUCGAGAAUACCGCAUCGAUACCACCAUGAAUAAUAGCUACGAUGUGAAAUCCAGCGACGACGUCACGACGGUGCCGCAUCAGCGCAUGCAUGAGUCGGAGACCAGGAAGGCGACCGAGAACACGUCUCUGUCUCCCAACAAUAAUCAGACCUACUUCGCCGAUGAAAGGGUACAGGUGCCAGAAACAGGACGUACGGGAUUUAGCUUUAGAAAACUAUGGGCCUUCACAGGACCUGGUUUCUUGAUGUCCAUAGCUUAUUUGGAUCCUGGCAACAUAGAGUCGGAUCUGCAAUCCGGAGUGGCAGCAAGAUACAAGUUAUUAUGGGUACUACUAAGCGCUACUAUCCUAGGUCUCGUUAUGCAAAGAUUGAGCGCACGCCUCGGCGUGGUAACCGGUCUACAUUUGGCGGAGAUGUGUUACAGACAGUAUAAAAAAGUACCUAGACUUAUUUUAUGGAUAAUGAUUGAAAUAGCAAUUAUUGGUAGUGAUAUGCAAGAGGUAAUAGGAACGGCUAUUGCCCUUUACCUCUUAUCUAAUAAAGCAAUUCCUAUAUGGGGUGGCGUACUUAUUACGGUAAUUGAUACUUUCACAUUUUUAUUUCUGGAUAAAUACGGCUUGAGAAAGUUAGAAUUGUUUUUUGGUUUUCUUAUCACGGUCAUGGCUAUCACCUUUGGUUACGAGUACAUUGUUUCCGCACCUUCUCAAAUAGAUGUUAUAAGCGGUAUGUUUGUCCCAUGGUACAAUGGAAUGAAUUACGAUAACAAGGUGCUACUUCAAGCUGUAGGAAUCGUUGGUGCAGUCAUUAUGCCGCAUAAUUUGUAUCUUCAUAGUGCUUUGGUCAAAUCCAGGGACAUCGAUCGAAGACAGCCUUCGAAGAUCAAAGAUGCUAAUAUGUAUUAUUUCAUUGAAGCCUGUAUCGCGCUAUUCGUUUCGUUUAUAAUCAACGUAUUUGUUGUGGCUGUAUUCGCUCACGGCCUCUACGAUAAAACAAACAACGAUGUUCGUAAGAUUUGUGAAGCAAAUAAUUAUACUCUGGGUAUGGAGACAUUUGAUAAAAAUAAUGCGACAUUGGAUGCUGAUCUUUACAAGGGAGGAAUCUUCCUCGGUUGCUCUUUCGGCGCAGCUGCGAUGUACAUAUGGGCCGUUGGCAUUUUAGCUGCCGGUCAAUCGUCUACGAUGACGGGCACUUAUGCUGGUCAAUUUGCGAUGGAAGGUUUCUUAAAUCUGCAAUGGGCACGGUGGAAACGAGUCCUUUUCACUCGAACAAUCGCCAUAGUUCCUACAUUCUUAGUAGCGUUCUAUGCUGACAUGAACAAUUUGAGCGGCAUGAACGACAUUCUGAAUGCAAUAAUGAGUUUACAAUUACCGUUCGCCACGCUGCCAACAAUUGCCUUUACGAGUAGCGUUCAGAUCAUGGGUGAAUUCCGAAACGGAAUACUAAAUAAGAUCGUAUCGACUGCCCUGUCGGUUCUGGUAAUAACAAUAAACAUAUAUUUCGUGAUACAAACUGUCCAAGAAGAUCUACCUCAUCAUUGGGCCAUAUACUUCGGCAUGUCUGUAUACGCGAUUUUAUAUCUUAUUUUCUGUGCUUAUUUGGCUAUCCAUAUGGCUGUGAGCAUGGGUGCGACUUCUCUCAGUAACAAUUGGUUUGUUACUAAGUACAUUGGUACACCUGUGAGUCCGACGCUCGGUAUAACGAAUCCUGCUGUUUAUGCCAGUUUUCACAAUACGUCGGAAACUUCGUUAAACACUUAGUCGGAAUAACGCAGUUGAAUACGUGAGACAAUAUGCGACGCUUGCAUUCCACAAACAAUGUGAAAACAAUGUUGCGUUGGAAAGGUGCUUAUAACAUCUCGUGAUGUCAGCAUGAUGUCCCAUGGUAUGUGUACUAUCACUGAAAGAUAUAUAUUAUAAUAAAUAAAUAUAUGGUGCUUUUUAUAAAGUACGCUUUGUCAUCGUUAUUGAAUGAUAAGUCUGCUGUACGCCGGAAUGUCGUUGCGCCUACCUUGUCAUCAGUUCUCUUCAUUAUCCGUUUCUUGUGUCUUUCUAAAAAUAAAUUUAUGUAUAACGAGUGAUUAACCAAAACUAUUUUCGUUGCAUGCACAUUUUUAACAAACGAAAGUUUGAAAAUGAAAGGCUGAGUUGUCGAAGAACAAAUCCAGCAUUUUCUAUUCAAGAAAAUUUGAGCGGCAGUUUUUCAUCUAUAUCAGAAUGGUAAUACAACUAUAUUAAUUAGUAUUGGAUAUGUAUAAGCGAUAUAUUGCGAUGGAAACGAGAAAAAGAGUAAAAUUGAAAACGGACAAUUGGAUAAAAGGUAAUGUUCAGUCACGGCCUGAUGCCGUUGUUAACAUUUUAUUAAAAAAUUUUAUUAAAAAAUCGUUAACAUAA